UACGGAGGGAGCUAGCGUUGUUCGGAUUUACUGGGCGUAAAGCGCGUGUAGGCGGGUCGAUAAGCUGGGGGUGAAAUCCCGGAGCUCAACUCCGGAACUGCCUUCAAAACUGCCGACCUGGACCUAGGUAGAGGCAAGUGGAAUUGCGAGUGUAGAGGUGAAAUUCGUAGAUAUUCGCAGGAACACCAGUGGCGAAGGCGACUUGCUGGACUUAUGGUGACGCUGAGACGCGAAAGCGUGGGGAGCAAACAGG
rnacentral:rRNA from 1 species